GUGCAGAGCCCAGGCGCGUGGGUCGGUGUCGGGUGUGUGUGUACGUCUGUGUGUGUAAUGAAACUGGACGCCUUCCUUCCCGGCGAUCUUGACUUAACCUGUCAGCAGAGGGCUUGAGGUUAGACCACAGGUUGAACCUAGGUGGCUGCUGGAGAGAAACACUCUGUCUUCCUGCUUUGAGGACAGCUGAAGUCUUGCCACUUCUUCUGGAUGCUCUGACCAUCAGUAAGCCACCUCAGUCUCACCCUCCGCAGAAUGCAGGCCCACUCCGUUGCUGAAGGGCCUCCUCCUUGGGCCAGGGCGCCUGCUUCUGCCAGUGGCAUCAUCACCCCACUCCUCAGCCGCCAGUCAUCAGAGACACGGUCUGACUUUGUUACCCCGGCUGGAGUGCAGUGGUGCAAUCAUGGCUCACUGCAGCCUUAACCUCCUGGGCUCAAGUGAUCCUCUCGCCAAGGCUAGGAUAAGUAGCUAGGACUACAGAUGCGCCCCAUCACGCCCAGCUAAUUUUACAACUUCUGUAGAGAUGGAGUGUUGCUGGGUUGCCCAGGCUGGUCUUGAAUUCCUGGGCUCAAGCGAUCCUCCUGUGUCCGGAAUUGGUGGGUUCUUGGUCUCACUGACUUCAAGAAUGAAGCCGCGGACCCUCGCGAGUCUGUAUCCACCAGCUACUCUUCCAGAUUCAUGAGGCAAGGCCUGCCUGCUCACCUGGCUGGCCCCAAGCACCUCUUCAACCUGUUGCCACCGUCCUGCCUUGCUGCCCUUCUCAGCUCAUCCAGCAGGGUCUCCAAGUCGUGGAAACAGAAGCACAUAUACACACAUGCUCAUAUGUACAUGCCCACAGUCACAUAAGCACACCGAGAAACACCAUCGCAGACAUGUUCUCACAAGCACAUGUGCAUAACACUCACUACCCCUCACGCGUAUACACAUUAAUACACACACUCAUGCACACUCAGUCUUACACACACAGACACACAGCCAUAAUCACUGUUGUUGGUUGAAUUGUGCCCCCCCAUCCCCACCAAAAAGAUAAGUUGGAGUCCUAACCCCCAGUACCUGGGGAUGUGACCGUAGUUGGAAAUAGGGUGUUUGUAGAUGUAAUCAAAUUAAGAUGAGAUCUUACUGGAUUAGAGUGGGCCUUAAAUCCAGUGACUGGUGUCCUUAUAAGGAGAAAAAGAUUUGAAAACAGAGACAUGGAGACACAGAGCAGAAGGCCAUGUGAUGAUGGAGUCAGAGAUUGGAGUGAUGCAGCUAUGAGCCGAGAAAUACCAAGGUGCUGGCAGCCCCCAGAAGCAAGGAGAGAGGCAAGGAACAAUCUCCAUCAGAGCCUCUGGAAGAAACAGACUCUGCCAACACCUUGAUUUCAGACUUUUGGCCUCCUUCACUGUGCGAGAAUACGUUUCUGUUGUUUUAAACUACUGAGUCACCAAGUCUGUGGUACUGUGUUAUGGCAGCCCCGGCAACAAAUCCAAUCACACACACACACACACACACACACACACACACACACACACACACAGCUGGCUCCAGGCUCAGUGAUGAGCUCAGAGGAGUUCCCCUUGGGAGCUGCUCUUUCUCUGUCUUCCUUCCUUAGUGAUUGGUCCAGUGGAUCCACAAAAGCUCAUGGCCCAGAGCAGGAGCCCAGUCAUUUUUAAUUCCUCUUCCCUGGAGUUCUUAACCAUGCGUUGCCCUCAAAAUCUGCUCUCAAGAUUUGGGUUGCCAUAUUUAGGAGCACCAGAAAACAUACAGGAAUGCUGUGUCUGCUUGCAUCAUAUUAAUUAAAAACUGGAAAUAACCUAAAUGUCCCAGAAUAGGUACAUAAACUGUGGCAUAUCCACUUAAUGGAAUACUACUCAGCAAUACAAAAGGAAAACCUAGUGUUACUUGAGCAACAUGGAUGAACUUCACAGACAUAAUAUUGCACAGCACGAGGCAGACACAAAAGUGUGCAUAUGCUAUGAUUCCAUUUACAUGAGAUUCAAGAACAGGCAAAGCAGAUCUAUGGGGAUAGAAGUCAGAAUAGUGGUUACCUCUGGAAGGUGGAAUUGACUGGGAGGGGCUUCAGGGAACCUCCUGGGGUGCUGAAAACAUUCUGUGCUUGCACCGGGUGGUGGUUAUGUGGGCAUUACAUAAAAUUCACCAAGCUGCACCCUUAAUGAUUUGUACAAUUUGAUGCACAAAUCUAACAUCUCAAGAAGAAUAAAUUUUACAAAGUACCUAAGAAGCAAA
rnacentral:lncRNA from 10 species